CGUAGUGGUUUGUUCCUUUGCUUCAGAUCGAGAGGUCUUUGGUUCAAAUCCUGCCCGAGGCAUUACCUCACGUUUUUGCCUUCUAUUUUGGUUCAGAUCUGGCGCUGAGAUAUGCUUCAAUUUCGGUGGAGCCUUCCCGUAUUCAACAUCACCAGCCUAGCCCAUUUGAUCCGCCGAUGGGCCUUGGCCCAGGUUCCUUCCCUGGCGCUACUCCUCUAUCCGUCGCCAGCAGCAUGCAGCAUUUGCUUCUUCCCGGAUAGGAUCACGA